AUCCAGCUGACGAGUCCUUAAUACAACGAAACGCGCGUCCUGGAU
rnacentral:hammerhead_ribozyme from 1 species